rnacentral:rRNA from 1 species
UGCAUAGGAAUCUGCCUAGUAGUGGGGGACAACCUGGUGAAAACCAGGCUAAUACCGCAUACGACCUACGGGUGAAAGCAGGGGAUCUUCGGACCUUGCGCUAUUAGAUGAGCCUAUGUCUGAUUAGCUAGUUGGUAAGGUAAUGGCUUACCAAGGCGACGAUCAGUAGCUGGUCUGAGAGGAUGAUCAGCCACACUGGGACUGAGACACGGCCCAG